UUGUGGAGGAGGACGCCGAAGGUGGGGCUAAUGACUGGGGUGAAGUCGUAACAAGGUAGCCGUACCGGAAGGUGCGGCUGGAUCACCUCCUAACAGGGAGACAACAAAAUGUUUAUAUUAUUAUUUUGUCACCUUAGGUCGAUCGGUAUCUCACAUUCUUAAUUUAUUAAGGAUUUUAUUUCCUAAGUUUUUUCUAGGUCACACCCAUUACUUUUCCUGGGCCAUUAGCUCAGGUGGUUAGAGCGCACCCCUGAUAAGGGUGAGGUCCCUGGUUCAAGUCCAGGAUGGCCCAUAUCUCUAUGCUGGGGGUAUAGCUCAGUUGGUAGAGCGCCUGCUUUGCAAGCAGGAUGUCAGCGGUUCGAGUCCGCUUACCUCCACUGAUUACCACCUCUUCCAUAAUUUGUAUUAGGGAAAUGUUUUGAGUAGUGAUCAAAUUCUGAACGAAUCUAGCUUCCUAAUGAAACCAUUAAGACGCUGGACUCAUUGAAUUAAUUUCAUUGUUUUCAGAGAACCUUGACAACUGCAUAGAUUAUUUUUAAAGACAAUAAGCAUCUUUAUGAUGCAGAUUUAUUAUUUGUGCGAAUGCAUUAAUAACAAUUCUAUUAAGCUGAUGCUUCAAUUAUGAAGUUAUUGGUCAAGCUACAA
rnacentral:misc_RNA from 1 species